UUUUGCUGCUGCUGUUCAUUUCUCCUUUACUUUUUCUUUUCUUUUUUGCCCUUCUCUUUGUUUUAGAGUUUCUCUUCUUUGGUCGUUUUUUGUCUGAAUUUUGUGUUGCUGCCGGGUUUUUGGUCUCGAAUGGAGAUGGAUUUUUUGGGUUUGAGCUCUAAGGAGCCAUUGGCUGUGGUGAAAGAGGAGAUUGACAAUGAUGGAGCACAAGAUUCUGGGUAUACUAAAAGCUCUGGUGUUCCAUGGUCCUCUAACAAGGCCUCUGCUCUUCCUCAUCUGAUGCCUUUCAAGAUUUCUGCAGAGGACAAGACUUCAAAGCUUGGUUCUGAUCCGGUCAUGGGUACUUCAGAUCAACGUGGAGCAGCCGAAAUCCAGAAAACGUUCAAUCACGAUAGGCAAGGUGGUCCUCAUUUUUCCCUGGCAGCUUAUCCUAUGCAACCUGAUUUGUAUUCGAUUCAUCGUCCUCACGAAGCAAAACUAUUUUCAGUUCAAAAUCAAGGUAUAUCUGUUUCCUUAGGCAAUCCAUCCUUGAAGAACCCUUUUACUCUUCCUGGUCAGAUGGCUGGUUCUAUCCUCAAACAACCACUUGGAGGAGUCCCUGUUUCGAGUGCUCCGAAUUCGUUUUUCUCACCAUUUGGUUCCAUUGUUGGGAUGACUGAACCAUGGAAUAGCAUGAAACCUACUGGUGGGUCUCCAAAUCAAUUGACUAUUUUUUAUGGCGGUACCGUUAAUGUCUACAAUGACAUUACCCCUGAAAAGGCUCAGGCUAUAAUGUUUUUGGCUGGGGCUGGGGCUGCUAUAUCCAACAUUGCACAUCCAAAAGCUCAAGCUCAUGGAAUGGGUGCAAAAAUGGCUGCAGCAAGUGAUGCUGCUCCUGUGAACCAGCCCGUAAGUGCCUUGCCUUGCCCUGCUCUCUCUAGCCCCUUGUCUGUUUCUUCUCACACGGGUGCCCAGUCUGCAAGUGGGUCAAGCUGCACUGAUGAGUUGAGAGGAGCUAAAACCAAUGGAGUUCCCACAACUCCUAUCAGCAAAGUAGAGCCUCCAAGAAUAGUCAAUCCGGUCGGAUCUGUCACUGCUAGUGCUAUGAUGCCAUCUGCUGUUCCACAGGCUCGUAAGGCAUCCUUAGCUCGGUUUUUGGAGAAGCGCAAG
rnacentral:misc_RNA from 1 species